GAUGAACGCUGGCGGCGUGCCUAACACAUGCAAGUCGAGCGAUUUACUUCGGUAAAGAGCGGCGGACGGGUGAGUAACGCGUGGGUAACCUGCCCUGUACACACGGAUAACAUACCGAAAGGUAUGCUAAUACGAGAUAAUAUGCUUUUAUCGCAUGGUAGAAGUAUCAAAGCUCCGGCGGUACAGGAUGGACCCGCGUCUGAUUAGCUAGUUGGUGAGGUAACGGCUCACCAAGGCGACGAUCAGUAGCCGACCUGAGAGGGUGAUCGGCCACAUUGGAACUGAGACACGGUCCAA
rnacentral:rRNA from 1 species